rnacentral:rRNA from 1 species
CAGUAGCCGCGGGAAUACGGAGGGAGCUAGCGUUGUUCGGAAUAACUGGGCGUAAAGGGCGCGUAGGCGGAUCUUUAAGUCAGGGGUGAAAUCCCAAGGCUCAACCUUGGAACUGCCUUUGAUACUGGAGAUCUUGAGUCCGGGAGAGGUGAGUGGAACUGCGAGUGUAGAGGUGAAAUUCGUAGAUAUUCGCAAGAACACCAGUGGCGAAGGCGGCUCACUGGCCCGGUACUGACGCUGAGGCGCGAAAGCGUGGGGAGCAAACAGGAUUAGAUACCCGGGUAGUCCCUGUCUCUUAUAC